UCCCCUGAGAGCUGUACUACGUGUGCAC
rnacentral:piRNA from 1 species